UCAGCUGCGAUGUUACUUGGUGCAGAUGAAGAUGAGCUGGGCUCCAGAGCAAGGAUUCAUCAAGUCAUUCAAACUCAGGUCCUUGUUCCAGUUCUGUGAUUAAGUGGCAUGAUUACCAGCUGAUGCCAGCAAGCUGAGUGUCUGUAGGUAAGCUCUGCAUCUCCUGUCACCAUUCUAAUAUGGGGGAGAGGGACCUGAGUUGUUGAGAGAUAGAGUUAGCAUGUGGGAAUCACCUGGU
rnacentral:lncRNA from 1 species